UACGUAGGGUCCGAGCGUUGUCCGGAAUUAUUGGGCGUAAAGGGCUCGUAGGCGGUCUUGUCGCGUCGGGAGUGAAAUUUUACAGCUUAACUGUGAACGUGCUUUCGAUACGGGCAGACUUGAGGUAUUCAGGGGGAGAACGGAAUUCCUGGAUGUAGCGGUGAAAUGCGCAGAUAUCAGGAGGAACACCGGUGGCGAAGGCGGUUCUCUGGGGAAUAUCCUGACGCUGAGGCGCGAACAGCGUGGGGAGCAAACAGG
rnacentral:rRNA from 1 species